rnacentral:tRNA from 1 species
AAGAAGCUAGUUUAAGAAAAACAUUAACCUGUCAGAUUAAAAAUACUCCUUCAGUGUUUCUUU